rnacentral:rRNA from 1 species
CAGUCGCCACGGUAAUACGAAGGGGGCUAGCGUUGUUCGGAUUUACUGGGCGUAAAGGGCGCGUAGGCGGGCUGAUAAGUCGGGGGUGAAAUCCCAAGGCUCAACCUUGGAACUGCCUUUGAUACUGUUGGUCUUGAGUCCGGGAGAGGUGAGUGGAACUGCGAGUGUAGAGGUGAAAUUCGUAGAUAUUCGCAAGAACACCAGUGGCGAAGGCGGCUCACUGGCCCGGAACUUACGCUGAGGCGCGAAAGCGUGGGGAGCAAACAGGAUUAGAUACCCCCGUAGUCCCUGUCUCUUAUAC